rnacentral:rRNA from 1 species
UUUUGGACAAUGGGCGCAAGCCUGAUCCAGCAAUGCCGCGUGAGUGAAGAAGGCCCUCGGGUUGUAAAGCUCUUUUGUCAGGGAAGAAACGGUGAGCUCUAAUACAGUUUGCUAAUGACGGUACCUGAAGAAUAAGCACCGGCUAACUACGUGCCAGCAGCCGCGGUAAUACGUAGGGUGCAAGCGUUAAUCGGAAUUACUGGGCGUAAAGCGUGCGCAGGCGGUUAUGUAAGUCAGAUGUGAAAUCCCCGGGCUCAACCUGGGAAUGGCAUUUGAGACUGCAUGGCUAGAGUGUGUCAGAGGGGGGUAGAAUUCCACGUGUAGCAGUGAAAUGCGUAGAGAUGUGGAGGAAUACCGAUGGCGAAGGCAGCCCCCUGGGAUAACACUGACGCUCAUGCACGAA